AUUGAACGCUGGCGGCAGGCCUAACACAUGCAAGUCGAGCGGAUGAGAGGAGCUUGCUCCUCGAUUCAGCGGCGGACGGGUGAGUAAUGCCUAGGAAUCUGCCUAGUAGUGGGGGACAACGUUUCGAAAGGAGCGCUAAUACCGCAUACGUCCUACGGGAGAGAGUGGGGGAUCUUCGGACCUCACGCUAUUGGAUGAGCCUAGGUCGGAUUAGCUAGUUGGUAGGGUAAAGGCCUACCAAGGCGACGAUCCGUAACUGGUCUGAGAGGAUGAUCAGUCACACUGGAACUGAGACACGGUCCAGACUCCUACGGGAGUCAGCAGUGGGGAAUAUUGGACAAUGGGCGCAAGCCUGAUCCAGCCAUGCCGCGUGUGUGAAGAAGGCCCUCGGGUCGUAAAGCACUUUAAGUUGGGAGGAAGGGCUUACAGCGAAUACCUGUGAGUUUUGACAUUAUCGACAGAAUAAGCACCGGCUAACUUCGUGCCAGCCGCCGCCGUAA
rnacentral:rRNA from 1 species